GGGGGGGGGGGGGGGGGGGGGGGGGGGGGGGGGGGCGAGCGGUGGGGGGGGGCGUGCGGUGUGGGUGAGGGGGGGGCGGGUGGGUGACGCGGGAGCAAGCGGCCCCUGACUCGGGGAUAAGCGCGGGGGACGGCGUCUAAUACUGGCGAUGAGCUGCGACCGCAUGGUCAGCAGGUGGAAAGAUUGUUCGGUUUGGGAUAGGCUCACGGCAUAUCAGCUUGUUGGUGAGGUAAUGGAUCACCACGGCGUCGACGGGUAGCCGGCCUGAGAGGGUGACCGGCCACAAUGGGACUGGGAAACGGCCCAGACUCCUACGGGAGGCAGCGGCGGGGAAUAGUGCACGAUGGGCGAAAGCAUGGUGCAGCAACGCCGCGUGAGGGAUGACGGCCUUCGGGUUGUAAACCUCUUUUAGCAGGGAAGCAGCGAAAGUGACGGUACCUGCAGAAAAAGCGCCGGCUAACUACGUG
rnacentral:rRNA from 1 species